rnacentral:rRNA from 1 species
UGGGGAAUCUUGCACAAUGGGCGACAGCCUGAUGCAGCAAUGCCGCGUGAGGGAAGACGGCCUUCGGGUUGUAAACCUCUUUCAGUUGGGAAGAAGGUCGGACGGUGAAUAGCCGCGUCGACUGACGGUACCUUCAGAAGAAGCCCCGGCUAACUACGUGCCAGCAGCCGCGGUAAUACGUAGGGGGCAAGCGUUGUCCGGAAUCAUUGGGCGUAAAGCGCGUGUAGGCGGUUACGUAAGUCUGCUGUGAAAGUCGGAGGCUCAACCUUCGAAAGCCGGUGGAUACUGCGUGACUAGAGUCCGGAAGAGGAGAGUGGAAUUCCUGGUGUAGCGGUGAAAUGCGCAGAUAUCAGGAGGAACACCAACGGCGAAGGCAGCUCUCUGGGACGGUACUGACGCU